GUUGGUAGUGGUGGUGAUGGUUAUAAUAAUAUUUGAAAUAUGAAAAUACAUGAAGAGUGGCUAAUGAUUUCAUUAUUUUAGUAUCAAUUUUAUGGUUGAGAAGAAUUCAUAUAUCAAUAAAAAAAAAGGUUUUAUCUUUCUUUGUACGAAUUCAUUAUUGGAUUAUCUAUUGAUUGCUUUAACAUCUGUGCAGAUGGAUGGUUCUUUGAGAGUCGUGUAGGUG
rnacentral:lncRNA from 1 species